rnacentral:rRNA from 1 species
CAGUCGAGGGGCAGCAUCAUCAAAGCUUGCUUUGAUGGAUGGCGACCGGCGCACGGGUGAGUAACACGUAUCCAACCUGCCGACAACACUGGGAUAGCCUUUCGAAAGAAAGAUUAAUACCGGAUGGCAUAAUUAUUCCGCAUGGGAUAAUUAUUAAAGAAUUUCGGUUGUCGAUGGGGAUGCGUUCCAUUAGGCAGUUGGCGGGGUAACGGCCCACCAAACCAACGAUGGAUAGGGGUUCUGAGAGGAAGGUCCCCCACAUUGGAACUGAGACACGGUCCAAACUCCUACGGGAGGCAGCAGUGAGGAAUAUUGGUCAAUGGACGAGAGUCUGAACCAGCCAAGUAGCGUGAAGGAUGACUGCCCUAUGGGUUGUAAACUUCUUUUAUACGGGAAUAAAGUGAGCCACGUGUGGCUUUUUGUAUGUACUGUAUGAAUAAGGAUCGGCUAACUCCGUGCCAGCAGCCGCGGUAAUACGGAGGAUCCGAGCGUUAUCCGGAUUUAUUGGGUUUA